AAUGAGGUAUGGUAUUAAAGGACCACUUACCAAAGGCUCCUAUCAAAGGACUUGCUCCAAAUCUUAUGAGAGGACUUGCUACAAAUCAUGUGAGAGGUCCUACUCCAAAUCCUGUUAAAGGAUCAACUCCAAAUCUUGCAAGAGCUCCAAAUACAAAUCUUGUGACCAUCUCCAAAUUCAAGUGGCUUAACUCAGCAACUAUCACCAACAAUCAUUGUUUCCAGUGACCUAGACAAGAAGCACAAUCUCAUGACAUUCAUCCCAACAGGGAUGUGUUUGUAUUUAAGCCACCAUAGAAAUAGGGAUGUGUUUGAGGUCUUUUUAAAUGCAUUUGAUCAAUAUAUUUGCAGAAUAUAGGUGCUAUUUUGGUACUAUUUUAAAUGAAUUUGUUUAAGUUAAUGUCCACUUUUUGAGAUUUAUUUGGUUGAAGUUAUAUCAACUUAUGUGCACCUCUUGAAAUACGUUUUAUCAUGAUGUAUUAGUUCAAACUGUUUUAUGUAUGCUUAUUUUGCAAAAUAUGAGUGUUUAUUUUUAUGUAAUUUCAGUUUAUAAGUAUCUAUUAGUACAAACUGCCCAAAUAAUCGUGCUUUAUGUGAUGUUGGCAUAGAGGACCGUCUCCACAUUUUACCACAAUCUUAUGGAACAUUUGGAAACAACGCAACAAUAAGGUUUGGAAUAACAUGGUUGAUGCUCAAGGCCUUGUAAUUGUUAAGAUAAUAUAUUAGUGAUUUAAUAAUGUAAUGGGCUUUUGGUUGUAAUUGGGCUUUGAGCAUAAUAGUAAUUUGGUUUAUUUUGUUGGUCUCUGUUUGAUUUUACACAAAUUGAUUUGUGUAUUAGAAGUUUAGAAGUAAAACAUGAAAGGGGAAUGAAGUUCAUAAGGAUUUGGUAGGCCACAGUUUGAGGUUCUUGUUUGAGUCUGAGAAUGGUUUUGUUUUUGGGUUUUGGUAUCUCGAUAAUUUGGUACGAAAUAAAAAAAAAAUUGUUCUCCACCGUUUGGUCAUUGGUGGAUUAAGGACACAAGCAACUUGCAAUCUUUGGCAGUUUGGUUUCUUGGUAUGUUAAUUGUCCUCUCUUUAAUUUGAUCGUUACUUAUUGAUUGGUCAACAUUUGCAAUGUUUGUGGGUGUCCAUUUGAAGUUUGUUAAACUCCUAUGUUCCAUUAUAUGCUUUGUUAUUUGUUUGGUUCCCUUGAUCUCUUUUGUUUAAUCUUGUCUUGGGUUAGUUUUGUUGUUCUGCUUGGUUUGAUCUCAUUAACUUAGUUUCAUUUGGUUCAGUUUGUUGAGUAAAAAAAAAAGCUUGAUUUGUUGGUUUGGUUCGGUUCAGUUUGAUUUAGUUUCGCUGGCUUGUUCCAUUAAUUUGGAGAUUUGUUUGAAUUAAACAGUUUGGUGAGGUAAUAUUCACAAUUUUUUGGUUUAUUUGGUGAAUGAGUCGAGUGCUCACAUUUGGUGAGAAAUACUCACAAUUUGGUUAUUUGGUGGGUCUAGUACUCACAAUUUGAUUGUUUGGUAAGUCACAAUAGUGCUCACAAUUUGGUUUUUUUGAUUGAUCGUNNNNNNNNNCCCCCUUUUUGAUGCUUCUAAUUGGUUGUCUCUUCUCUCUUUGGUUUCUGAUUCUUCUGAUUGAUUGCAUUGAAUUUCUCCCUCUGUUGGUUUCUUCUGUUUGAUUACACUUCUCCCCGUUGAUGUCUUAUGUCUGAUUGCAUCUCUCUGCUGAUCUUCUUUUGUCUAAUUGUCCCCCCCGAUGAUUUCUUCUGUUUGCUUCUCCCUAAUGAGUCUUUGGUUUGAAUUCUGUUGAUUGCCUCUCCUGUUGAUUUCUUUUGUUUGAUUGCUCCUCUCUCUGAUGAUUUCUCUUAUGUUGGAUUGCUCCCCUCCGUCUGUUCUUCUAUUUUGGUUGUUUCUCUUUCUAUUGACCGAUUCUUCUGUUUGGUGUUCUGGUUCUUCUUUAUGUUGGUUUUGCUUGAUUGGUUUGGAUUGGUACAAUUUGAUUUGGUUUAGUUUGGACCGGAUAAGUUUGGUUUGACUUGGUUUUGUUUGGACGUUUCUUUCUGCAUUUUCAAUGAUGUCAACUCAGGUUGGUUGCUGCUCUCAGGUAGUUGUUUUGGUUUGAUGUCUUGUUUGACAACCUCUCAAUGCUUCAUGUCAAGACAUUGUGAGUUUGCAGGGAGAUGUUAAGAUAAUAUAUUAGUGAUUUAAUAAUGUAAUGGGCUUUUGGUUGUAAUUGGGCUUUGAACAUAAUAGUAAUUUAGUUUAUUUAUGUUUUUUAUAUAUUCCUAAGACAACUCAUUGUAUUCUAAGCCAUUGUAAUGUAAACCCUAGUCUCUUUUG
rnacentral:lncRNA from 1 species